CCAGAGGUGUAGAUGUCUGGCUUCAGAAAGUAAAAGUCCUGCCACAUUUUGGUUCCUACCAUUCACUUAAUCAGGAGAUUCUAAUUAGCACAGUUCUUAAGCCAGGUAGGUCAGCUAGUUAGUGAAAUCACAUGUGUUAAGUGCACAAGUAAAACCCAUACAUGGGAGGAUUUUUACUUUCUAAAGCCGGACUU